UUCCAGCUCACCGGCAAAGAUUUCAGGUGAAGGCAGAGCUGUUUCAGAGGGCUCUGUGUGGAGGAGAUGGAGUGAACGGAGCAGAGGGCACAUCUGGGCUCUCUACAGUGUGAGGAGCUGCAGAUGAAAACUCACUUUGACAACAAAUGAACUGCAUCAUUGCAUUGAGCUCAACUACCUUUUCGAGCAGAAUGUCUUGGUUUGAAGCGAGGCAGUAAGGGACAAGCUCAUUCAGCUGUACUUUUUUGGUAGGUGAUUGUUCUGUAAUUAACCAGCAGACGGCUUAUGCACAUAAGGUAGGAGGGAAGUGCAGACAGCUGGGGCAAACUAACACACAAAGAAGCAGGGGAGGAAGUAAAACCAAACACACUGGACAAGAGAUAAAUGUCACCGUGAGAAGCAAUGUCAGGAAAUGAGAAGCAAUAACUAAAUAGGGGAACAAAGACACAGAACUAAACUACACAUAUAGACAACAGGAACAGUGACUAAUUUAUCAUAUUUAGUAGGAAUGGCAAACUUGGAAGGCUUAGGAUAUAAAGAUUGGAAAGGUUUGUGAUUUGGAUUGUUUGAAGACAUGCUUGAAGACCCUGCCCACAUCACUGACUUCCUAAAGAAGGCCACAGACAAAUCCCUGAAGCACUUAAUAGCUUCACCAAAGCACACAAAAAGGCACUUCAGAGGGUCAUUAAAAAAAUGGCCCAAAAAAUCAUUGGACAUCCUUUUCCCUCCCGGAAGGACCUGUGCUGCAGUCUGCUGUCUCCACAGGGCACGCAGCAUCCUACGGGACUGCACACACCCAGGACACCGGGUGUUUAAGCUGCUGCCGUCUUUCAGGAGACUCAGACUGCUGAGGUCACAGACAAACAGACAAGAGUCUCAGUUUCCACCCCUGGGCGGAGUCACGGCAUACCUGCGUGCCUCCACACCUGCUGGCAGUUGAGCUGUCAGUACUUAAGACCAGCGCUCACCCCUACUCUCUGCCAAGUCUUCAGCUUACCUACAUCAUCCUGCUGUCUGUCAUUUCCUCUGCUGGCCAUAUUCACCAUCAUCCCGAUGCCGGUCAGUACGAGACAGCUCAGUGCAAAAAGCUCUCUUUUUCACUCACCUGCCCUCCUGUCACAGCACCUACGUAACACCCCACCUGGAAACAGCACUGCCUCACCCAGACCUCUUCCCCCUCUCGUGCCUAAAAACCUCCACCUGCCAAGUAAGACAAGAUCUGUUUAUACUUCAUUCUCAUCUGGACUCCAUCGGCCUCGCUCUUAACUCUGUUUUCCUCUCGUUCUAGUUCUCCGUGACACCUUGCUGCAUUACCUGUUCCGAGUGCACAUUCCCCCUUGAAUUUCCCUACUCUAGUUGUCCUAGUGUUUCAUGCUGUUCAUUGUCAUUUGAGUACUCUUUAUUUUAUUAGAGCUGUAGGUAGUCUCUCUCAGUUUUCAGUAGCUUCGUGGUUCAGAGCUCACACUCUAAAUUAAUAUCAGUUCUUCCUGUUGUAAAUAAAGAGUUUUUGAUAAAUACGCUCACCAGUGCCUCCGUGAGUGUUCUCCAUAUCGAGUCUUUUUCCCAGGUCGGCCUUGGCUGUGACAUUAAUAACGGCACCGUGUUUCCUCCUCUAUUCAGCAUGCCAAACAGACAAAGAGCACCGCACCAAAGCAGUAAGGGAAUGUUUGGUGUUCAGCCAGCAGCAGGUGGAAACACUCACUGCUGAAAACGCCUCGCUACGAGACUUGGUCAUGUGACCCAGCUCAGUGAAGAAAGUAAAAUAAUAAUGAUUUUAAAAUAAUAAAAGACACUAUGGUCGAUUUCCACACUAUCCCCUGGUGUUUUCAGGCAUCCUGGAAUCUGCGGAAGAGGACGCAGAAGUUACCAUUAAAACCUUCAUCAGGACCCACCUGAAGCUUCCACAGGACAUGCUGAAGAACAUCACCUUCCACUGUGUCCAUGGCCUGGCAGCAAGAAUGAUGCCUGAAGACCGCGUCCUAUUGUGACCAAAUUCCAACAUUUCAAGCAGAAGGAACAGGCAGCUGAAAGGAACGGACUUUAGUGUAAACAACCAGUUCCCCAAAGAGAUUCCGGAGCGACAUGAGGUCCUGAUCCUCAUUCAGUGGAUCUUCAUUCAGAAGGGCUCCCGUGCUGUGGUCGCUGUGGAUGAACAGAUCAGCCUCAGCACCACUCCCUGGUUGAUUGACGCCACUCCAUAUAAGAAUCCACUACAUUGUUUUUCUUCUCCUCCGCUUCCCCUGUUAUCUAACUUAUUGAUGUUAAUUCACUAAUGCAACGUGACGUCAUGACAGAUAAAUUACCAUCAGUCUCCACAGCGUUAAAGUAUUAGUUACAAUGUUCUUGUUUUCUUUCCAGUUUUCUCUUUCAUCUCUCCCUCUUGCCCCAUUGCAUAUUUCCUUCUUAUUUUUAUGUUCAUUCUUAGUCUUAUAUGUUACUAUAUAUAUAUUCAUAUUUUCAGGCUGCUUUAUUUGACAAAACCUGUAGAGGACUGUAUUAGUCAGCUGUAAGGAUGGAGCAACCAAGAACCAACCUAACGGUGCCUACCUUCUACAGCGGCAUUCCACAAACAUUCAGCCUGUCAUGGCUGUAAUUGUAGUCCAUUCUAACACAGUUAAAAAUCAUGGUUGAUUUAAAACAAAAGCAACAAAAACUUUUACUUGGUUGUUAUCUUGUAGUUGUAUUAAUUACAGGAGUAUCUGUAAUAACCAUUUUUACAGAUGAAUAAAAGUUUGGACA
ensembl:lncRNA